UACGGAGGGAGCUAGCGUUGUUCGGAAUUACUGGGCGUAAAGCGUACGUAGGCGGCUUUGUAAGUUAGAGGUGAAAGCCCGGAGCUCAACUCCGGAACUGCCUUUAAAACUGCAUCGCUAGAAUCCGGGAGAGGUGAGUGGAAUUCCGAGUGUAGAGGUGAAAUUCGUAGAUAUUCGGAAGAACACCAGUGGCGAAGGCGGCUCACUGGACCGGCAUUGACGCUGAGGUACGAAAGCGUGGGGAGCAAACAGG
rnacentral:rRNA from 1 species